AGUCCGCCCUUCCCUUACUCGCUCUUUCACUGCUGCAGAUUCAAGACUGUCUGUUAGCAACAUUAUGGCUGUCAUUAUAAAACUAAGUUGUCUUUGGCAGCCGUACAGAAAAUACAAUGCAUCCGUCAUAAAAUGACCCGAUACCUUUGGGGUUCUGAUGGCACUGAGGCUGGUCUGUUCUGAAAUGAGGCUUUCGGUCUGUCUACAAGGGCGCCUGUAGGAAGUCGAUGAUAUCCGAGGCUGCCUUCACCUCUUCAGGAGUUGGGUGCUCAGCGCUGCAGUCUGGUGUCAGUCUGUGAACUGCCCUCACCCCAUCCCUCAGGUGUGCUGCAGUCUGGUUGGUCAGUCUGAGACCACAUGACCUGUAGCCUACGGACCAGACUCCUCCAUCACACACAGCCCUCUGGUUCCAUAGAGAGGUGGAGGGGCUUCCCACCAUAAUGGCUGCCCGUCCUGUGUUUUCUCUUGACGCGUUGCGGCGCAGAAUCAGGUUGCUGACCUACUCCCAACAUGUUCUCCAGACCCUGAAGGGCAGGUUACUGCCUAUAGCUGUUAACCGUGUGGUCGGUGUAUCAAACUAAGCAGCUCAUUCGCGAAACCCUGAAUAUUGUAUUGAAUGCAAUUUGAAGAGAUUAGUAUGAAAAUGUAUGCACUAACUGUAAGUCGCUCUGGAUAAGAGCGUCUGCUAAAUGACAAAUGUAAAAAUUUAACGACUGCUCGGUAUAACCCUACAUUGUAAACUGAAACGGUGAAAAGUGUAUUGAUGCAAUUGUAGGUAAAAUGGACAGGAUUAAACGCUCUGCUUGCCUGACAAAUCCACAAGUGUUCAUAAAUAAAGUGUGUUCUGGUA